GGAAUUCCAAACCUAUAAAUAAUGUGAUCACGGAUAAACUCUAUAACAUUCUUCUGGGUGAUCUCUUUCAAAGGUACCGCCUCUACCCAUUUGGUGAAAUAGUCGGUUGCAACUAUAACAAAAGUAUGUUGCUUGGACGAUGGAGGGUAGAUCUUCCCUAUUAGAUCUAUCGCCCAACCUUUGAACGGCCAAGGUUUAAUAAUAGGUGCCAUUUCUCGUGCUGGCGCCCUUUGUAUUGGACCAUGCUUUUGGCAUGCUAAACAACUUUUUGCAUACUGAACGCAUAGUUCUCCCA
rnacentral:lncRNA from 1 species